CUCUUGUUCUCUCUUUAUCUCUUUGCUCUUCUCUCUUUGAUCGGAUGAUCUUUCCCUGCUGUAGAAGCUCUUCUUAUAUAAUCAUAAACUAGACCCAAUCCUCUCUGAAAAAGGAUUAUUUCCAUUCUUGCAAAACACGAGACCGUCUUUGGUGUUUCCUUUUCCUGAAAACAUUAACCGACAAAGCAUGGUUUGGUCUUUUGUAAGUGAGCUGGAAUUGGGCCAGAAGUGGGAUUGGGCCCAUCUCUUCACAAUCUCCACCUUGGGCCCAACUCCAUACUUCUAUUGCGUCUUCUCGUUGACGGAGAAUCCGUCGUCUUCAUCGUCAACGUCUCUCACUUGGAAGCAAAUAUCCAGAAGCAUGCCUUUUAAUAUAAACCUUCACAACUUAUCCUUUGUUGUAAUCAAAGUUACAAACUGACUUCUUCACCAACCAAAAUAGUUCCUCCACCAUCUUCUAUGUCGUUUCAGCUGAUUUGUCUGCCGAUUCUUUUCAAUUCCAGCCGGUGAAUCCAUCACCAACGACUCUGACCACCUGACUCGUCAAUUAGUCUUUCCAGGAAGCUGCGAAUUGAUCCCCUAGAGCCACCGUUUGAUUUUCAUCCUCCUAUAAAAAAUUCAGAUUAAUGAAGCUACUCCUAUAAACCACCAUGGUUUUUCAGCUGCUUCAAUGAGUUCAGCUCUAAUCCGUAAGAUUCAACCACUAUGCGCAUUCUCUGAUGGUUUCUCAUCGUUUAUGGAUCCGUCACCGCUAGACGACCCUUUCGUUAAGGAUAAUUAGAAAAACAAGUUUCACCGGAGUUCUGCAGUUUUCCACUUCUUGGACAAAAUUCGCUGCUUCCUCAACCUAUUGACGAUGACUUUCCUUUUGUUUCUUCGACGAUCCCGUUGUGCUUCUCAUGUACCAGAGAUACUCGUCUCCCUUCACCAUUGACGGUGUUUAAGACGUUCUCUCAUCAACCUUCCCCUUCCUUGUUUGGCGACCCGUUGCAAUUGUUUUUUAGCCUGAGAUACUCGUCUCCCUUCACCAUUCUUGAUGUUUAAGACGUUCUCUCAGGUAGCACUUCAAAAAAAAAAAAACCUCUCCUACCCUCCAUCCGAUUUACUUGAGACCUAUUAGCAACUUUCCUAUGUUUCAGCUGCUCCACCUUGAACUGAAACAUCCACCUCGUCUUAUCCGUCACAGGUAACCUUUCUAAAUCCUUUUCAUUAUCGAUAAGAAACAAUAGUAGUUCCUUACUCAUUAUUUCUUCUUGUGCGAGGUGUCUCGAUAAUGACGUUACCUGUGACGCUUUUCUCCUAUUAGUGGACAUUGGGAAGUUCACAGCAAAGCUGCAACUUCUGAUCAGUGAGCUGGAAUUGGGCCAGAAGUGGGAUUGGGCCCAUCUCUUCACACAGUCUUU